rnacentral:rRNA from 1 species
AUUGAACGCUGGCGGCAUGCCUUACACAUGCAAGUCGAACGGUAACGCGGGGCAACCUGGCGACGAGUGGCGAACGGGUGAGUAAUGUAUCGGAACGUGCCCAGUUGUGGGGGAUAACUGCUCGAAAGAGCAGCUAAUACCGCAUACGACCUGAGGGUGAAAGCGGGGGAUCGCAAGACCUCGCGCAAUUGGAGCGGCCGAUAUCAGAUUAGGUAGUUGGUGGGGUAAAGGCUCACCAAGCCGACGAUCUGUAGCUGGUCUGAGAGGACGACCAGCCACACUGGGCCUGAGACACGGCCCAGACUCCUACGGGAGGCAGCAGUGGGGAAUUUUGGACAAUGGACGCAAGUCUGAUCCAGCCAUGCCGCGUGCGGGAAGAAGGCCUUCGGGUUGUAAACCGCUUUUGUCAGGGAAGAAAAGGCUCCUUCUAAUAUAGGGGGCUCAUGACGGUACCUGAAGAAUAAGCACCGGCUAACUACGUGCCAGCAGCCGCCGUAA